rnacentral:rRNA from 1 species
CAGCCGCCGCGGUAAUACGGAGGGUGCAAGCGUUAAUCGGAAUUACUGGGCGUAAAGCGUGCGUAGGCGGUUCGUUAAGUCUGUUGUGAAAGCCCCGGGCUCAACCUGGGAAUGGCAAUGGAUACUGGCGAGCUAGAGUGUGUCAGAGGAUGGUGGAGUUCCCGGUGUAGCGGUGAAAUGCGUAGAGAUCGGAAGGAACACCUGUGGCGAAAGCGGCUCACUGGACAAUAACUGACGCUGAUGCACGAAAGCUAGGGGAGCAAACAGGAUUAGAUACCCCAGUAGUCCCUGUCUCUUAUAC